rnacentral:lncRNA from 1 species
GGAUCCGAGUCGAGUGAUGCUGAUCUGUCAAAUAGCUCGUUGAUAGUGCUGAGAUACCAUGAGAUGGCGAAUCGGCGCAAAGAUGGAAAAUAAAUGCAAUCUUUUCUUAAUUGGGGCAAUUUUGGCACUUUUUAAUAAUUUGACCAUAACUUUGGCUACGGUUAUCAGAAUCGCUAUUAUGACCCCAAUUCGGAAAGCUUUCUUUAGUGCACACAUCGUGCUCACCUAGCUAUGCUCGGUGGGCAUCAAUUUUGAGGCAAAAAUCCACUAUUUUCCUUUCUAAAAUUCAAUUUUUAGUUAUUUUUUAUUAUUUAUGGUAAUAUUUCG